rnacentral:rRNA from 1 species
UACAGAGGGGGCGAGCGUUGUUCGGAAUUACUGGGCGUAAAGGGCGCGCAGGCGGCCUCUUGACGUCCGAUGUGAAAGCCCCGGGCUCAACCUGGGAAUGGCAUUUGAUACUCGAGGGCUUGAGUACGGGAGAGGAGAGUGGAAUUCCCAGUGUAGAGGUGAAAUUCGUAGAUAUUGGGAAGAACACCGGUGGCGAAGGCGGCUCUCUGGACCGUAACUGACGCUGAGGCGCGAAAGCGUGGGGAGCAAACAGG